UAAUACAGAGGGUGCAAGCGUUGUUCGGAAUUAUUGGGCGUAAAGCGCGUGUAGGCGGCUUUGCAAGUCGGGUGUGAAAUCCCUCAGCUCAACUGAGGAAGUGCGCCCGAAACUGCAGAGCUUGAGUACCGGAGAGGAUGGUGGAAUUCCCCAAGUAGAGGUGAAAUUCGUAGAUAUGGGGAGGAACACCGGUGGCGAAGGCGACCAUCUGGACGGAUACUGACGCUGAGACGCGAAAGCGUGGGGAGCAAACAGGAUUAGAUACCCUGGUAGUCCACGCCGUAAACGAUGAGAACUAGGUGUCGUGGGUGUUGACCCCCGCGGUGCCGUAGCUAACGCAUUAAGUUCUCCGCCUGGGAAGUACGGCCGCAAGGCUA
rnacentral:rRNA from 1 species